UACGGGGGGAGCAAGCGUUGUUCGGAUUUACUGGGCGUAAAGGGCGCGUAGGCGGCCACCGCAAGUCGACUGUGAAAUCUCCGGGCUUAACUCGGAAAGGUCAGCCGAUACUGCGGGGCUAGAGUGCAGAAGGGGCAACUGGAAUUCUCGGUGUAGCGGUGAAAUGCGUAGAUAUCGGGAAGAACACCCGUGGCGAAGGCGGUUCUCUGGGACGGUACUGACGCUGAGACGCGAAAGCGUGGGGAGCGAACAGG
rnacentral:rRNA from 1 species